UAGGCUCUCAAAACUCCAAGCAACCAACCACAAGAAAAUGGUAUGUCAUUCUACUAGAUUUUUAUGUUACAAGUACCCCAUCACAUGCUAGUUAGGAUGAGAUCCUUGGAAAAAUCAAAUUUGCAUGUAUAUUAGAGAAAACAUAGAUCCAAGGUUUCUAGGGUUACAUGUACACCAUAAUAGUGUUAGAAUGCUCAAAACCCUUCAGUGAUAUAAAAGCCUAGGCUUGUUUUCAUUAUAAUUGAUGCAGAUUGCUAUAAAAAGUCGAAAUUGUGCUCAUUGUUCAGUGAACUCGCCGAGUCCAUGGGGGAAAUCGAUGAGUCUAAGGGAAAGUUCAUCCUACUCGUCGAGUAGGUUCUUGCACCCGGCGAGUAAGAGGCCCUGUGUGCAAAAUAUCGAAUUUUGUUGUUGGAAUUGAACUAGGAUCAUUACCCUAAACUGCUUUUAGAUUGUUAAACCUGUUUUUGAUGUGGUAAUGAUUAUGCUUAUCCCAUUUCAAUGAUAAUUAUCAAAGUUUCAAUUUUUAUUUUAUGUUUAUAUGAUUCUUGAAAAUUAUUGAUGUGGAUGUUCAUGCUUAUGAGUUUUGGUAGAUCAUAGGAAUUAUUUGGAAAUUGCUUGUUAGUGUAAUUCUUGAUCUUAAUGCCAAUUAAUGGACUCCAUAACUUGUCCUCAAGUUAUGGAAUUCCAAAAGUCUUUUCUUUAAAACCAUUAAAACUCAUAAGUUAUAGAAAUGAAAAGUUUUGAAUAGUUUCAAAACUUGCCCUCAAGUUUUGGAAUUUGUAAAGUCUCACACACAAUUUAAUUCCAAUCCCUAGAAUUUUAAAAGUUUAAAAUUCAACCCUUAUACUUUAUAAUAUAAUAAGUUAAUAAUAUAUGUGUAUAUGUAUAAGAUCAAUUCAGUCUUACCGUUAGUAGGCCUCAUUCACGAAGUCGGUCUAAAAGAGGGGUAUAAGGUUGUUGCCUAUAAAAUGGCAACUUAAUGGGUGUCCACUCUCAGCCACUACUUCCUUGACUGGUGGAGGGUCGUUAGCUAAACGGGUAGAACAAGGACUAUAAUUCUCAUUAAAGUAUAAUGAUAAAUAUAAAGUAACUAAACCUUUUAUAAAUUCCCAAUCUUAGUUACCUUAGGAAAAUGUGAAUUUGGUGCUAACCCAUGAAAUUACACUUUGUACUUUACCAAGUCGUUAGUGGAGCGUGUGUGGUUAAUCGGCACACUAACAUGGACUAGUAAGUGUGGAAAAGGGUAACUUAAUGUUUAUCAUAGAUUGGUGGAGCGCGUGUGGUUAACCGACACAUCCAUUAGGUGAUAAAAAUUAAGGGUACCAAGUUAAUUUGCAUGGUUAUUCAAACCUUGUUUGUGAUCCUCGGCAUCCCAGUCACAAAAUUGAGAGGGCACAAUCGAGAUUUAAACAUGCCAUUGAAAAGUUCAAUGAAUCUCAAAAGAUCUAGGAGUGUCAAUCCAAUUAAAACCUAAUACCUAUUUCGUUUUUCAUGGUGGAAAUUGGUGAAUCUUUAUUUUCCUACCUUCAAAUAUUUUAUAGCUUUGAUUACGACAUCCCUCUUCCAAGUGAUAAAGUAUUGUAUUGGGUCCUAGUCUUAAUAUUACUUUUGGGUAUCUUAUUAAGGACUCUUUAUCUAAUCUAAACUUGUCUUUCUUCUUUUCAGAUGUCUUCCAACAAUGCUUCUGGCUCAAACCCUACCAACUCCUUCUCUCUCAUGAAUCUUUGUGAGAGAGUCAUCUUUGAUGGUUCCAACUUUAAUGAUUGGAUCAGGAACAUCAGGAUGGUCACACGUUACAAGGGAAAGGAAUGUGCAUUGACAAGGAGCUGAAGGAGAUCGAUGAGUCCACUACUACUCCACAGGAGAUCGCUGACUUUAGGACUCAUGACAGAGAUGCCACUAAGCUGGCAUGUAUCAUGUUGGCCACAAUGACAUCUGAACUCCAAAAGUCCUAUGAGGACACAUGAAAGAGAUGCCACCAAGGUGGCAUGUAUCAUGUUGGCCACAAUGACAGCUGAACUCCAAAAGUCCUAUGAGCACUUUUACCCUUUUGAGAUGCACAUGGACCUGAUGGAUAGAUACCACCAGAGUGCUCGUCAAAAGAGGUAGGAAAUCAUCUCUUCCAUGAUAACAACCUGAAUGAAGGAUGUUAAACCCAUCAUGGGACACAUGCAGAAAAUGUAAAGGUUUGUGGACCGUUUUCUGAAGUUGAAUGUGAACUUCCCUGAGGAGUUGGCUAUUGACACCAUACUACACUCCUUACCUACUUGUUAUGAUCAGCUCCGAAUUACCUAUCAUAUAAACAAGGAGGAGGUCACACUCAGCAUGCUUCAAGGAAUUUUGAAUACCGUCGAAAGUGGUCUCAAAGGUAAAUCGGUUGUUACUACUCCUACUCCUAACACUGCCCCUGUUCUGGCAAUCGGACAAGGUAAAGGGAAAAAGAGGAAGACUCCUUUGAAGUUACCAAGGGAAAGUCUCUUGAUGGCUCCUUUUCGAGUGGAACCAAAGGUGGUUCUGUUACUCCCUCUUCCAACCCAAAAAAAGUUGAAUGCUUCUAUUGUCAUGAUAAGGGGCACUGGAAACGAAACUACCCCAAGUACCUAGAGUCUUGGAAUCAGUUGACUGAAGGUCAGAUGAUAGUUGCGAGUCUUUUUUACUUGGAAAAAUGACUAAGUCACCCUUCACUAGUACUUGUGCUCGGGGUGAAGGUUUAUUCGACCUCAUACACAAAGAUGUGUGUAGACCUUUCAAAACAGCCACAAGGGAUGCUAGCCACAUCUAUGUGACUUUUAUUGAUGAUUACAGUAGAUAUGGUUAUGUCUACUUAAUCAAGCAUAAAUCGGAAACCUUCGAAAAGUUCAAAGAGUUAAACAGGAAGUGGAGAAUCAAUUGGGUGGGAACAUUAAGAUGCUUCGAUCCGAUCGAGGUGGAGAGUAUCUUAGUACAUAGUUACUUGACUAUCUUAAGGAAUGUGGAAUUGUUUCACAAUUGACACCGCCCAGAACACCACAACUUAAUGGUAUACCUGAGAGGCACCACCCAUAUCCUUAAUCUAGUCCCUACCAAGAAGGUUGUCAAAACACCUCACGAGAUGUAGACUGGGAAAGUUCCCACUUUAUACCACAUCAAGAUUUGGAGUUGCGAGGCUUUCAUGAGAUGUGAAACUCACGACACUCUCGAACCUCGUAGUGAGCGGUGUAUUUUCAUCGGCUACCCACAUAAAUCUUUUGGUUACCUCUUCUACAGACCAGUGAGAAUGCAGUCUUUGUGGCAAGGAGAGGGGUUUUUUGCGAGAGAGAAUUUAUAAGCUAAGGAAACAGUGGGAGGAAAAUUGACCUUGAAGAGCUUCAAGAGUCAAGUGGUGAAGGAACCUCAAACCCUAGCAAUCAACCUGAGUAGGAAACUCUUUUUGAACCAACCAGAGCAUUAUUAUGGUUUCCAUAUUACUACGGAAGGUGAUACAUUUAUCAAUGAUAGUACAAUGGUAAAUUUGGAUGAACGUAACAGCUAUAGGGAAGCCAUGGUAGGCCCUGAGUCUGCUAAAUGGAAAGAGGCUAUGGACAGUGAGAUUCAGUCCAUGUAUGACAAUCAAUUUUGGAACUUGGUUGACAAUGUACCGGGUCGUAAGAUGGUCCGAUGCAAAUAGAUCUUCAAGAAGAAGACCGACAUGGAUGGGAAAGCACACACUUAAAAGGCACGACUGGUUACGAAGGGCUUCACCCAAAAUCAGGGAGUUGACUAUGAUGAAACCUUUUCACCAGUAGCGAAAAUUAAGUCUAUUAGGGUUAUGCUAGCCAUUUCUGCAUUUCAUGAUUAUGUAAUAUAGCAAAUGCAUGUCAAAACCGCUUUCCUUAAUGGAAAGUUAGCUGAGGAUGUUUACAUGAGUCAGUUAGAGGGUUUUUUCAAUGCAGAGUACCCUGAUAGAGUGUGCAAGCUUGAGAAAUCCAUUUAUGGAUUGAAACAAGCAUCUUGUAGCUGAAAUAUUUGUUUUAAUGAGAAAGUCAAAGAGUUUGGUUUUUCAAGAAGUGAGGAUGAGUCCUGUGUAUAUGUCAGAGCUAGUGGGAGUAUAAUUAGCUUUUUGAUACUAUAUGUGGAUGACAUACUACUCAUAGGAAAUGACAUCCCAACUUUACAGGAGAUUAAAUCCUUGCUUUCGAAGUGUUUCACUGUGAAGGACCUUGGAGAAGUUUCCUAUAUCUUAAGGAUAAGGAUAUUGAUAGAUAGGAGUAAAAGACUAAUUGGACUUAGUCAGAGAACCUACUUGGACAAGGUGUUGAAGAGGUUCAACAUGCAAAAUUCCAAGAAAGGUGAUUUACCGAUCCAAAGCAAUGCCAAAUUGAGUAAGGCUCAGAGCCCGAGUAUAGAGGCUGAGAUAGCUGAGACGAGUCGAUUACCAUAUGCUUCCGCUGUUGGCUCGAUCAUGUAUGCUAUGACUUGUACCCGCCCUGAUGUCUCCUUUGCUUUAAGCAUGGUCAGCAGAUAUCAGGGGAACCCUAGCAAGGCUCACUGGAUUGCGGUAAAGAACAUUCUCAAGUACUUACGAAGGACUAAGGAUUGGAUUCUUACCCUUGGUGGGAGUGAUGACUUGAGAGUAGUAGGGUAUAGCGACGCCAUCUUUCAGACCGACAUGGAUAAUUUCCGUUCUCAUUCGGGCAGGGUGUUUACCUUGAAUGGAGGAUCGCUUACUUGUAAAACUUGCAAGUAGGAGAUGGUAGCUAAUUCGACGUGUGAAUCAAAGUACAUAGUAGCUAGUGAAGCGGAGAAGGAGGCGAUAUGGCUGAAGAACUUCAUCGAAGACCUUGGAGUUGUACCACCUAUAAAGGAGCCUAUGAAGAUUUUCUGUGACAACAAUAGUGUGCUUGCCUUAGCCAAGGAACCGAGAGAUUAUGGUAGAUCCAGACACAUUGACAGAAAAUAUCACUUCAUAAGACACAAGAUAGAAGAAGGACUCAUCGUGGUAAAGAGGGUAUCGUCAAAAGAGAACCUAGCAGAUCCCCCCGCGAAGGGACUGACUAGGGUUAGGCAUUUGCAGCAUGCGAGGCACAUCAGGAUGAAGGAGGAUAUUAGUUAUACAGAUUAGAUAGCUAUCUCUAAACUUGUAAAAUGUAAUUGACACUUGAUGAUUAAAUAAAAUUUCUUGUUUAUUUAUAAGUAAGGUGUUACUAUCUUGUGCAGUCGUAUACUAUUGUUUAAACUUUGCACGUUUUGACUUCUAGAAUAAUUACUUUAUUCAAACUCACCAUAAUGAAUCAUACUUUGGAAGUAGGUAUGAAUCAAGACUGUCAUGAAUUGGGCUUGUAGAUGUCUAAGGUGUUAGACAUAGCAAAAGUUGCUACAACAUUCAUGAGUACUUAUAAGUUCGGAGUAUUGGAUUAAACCCACGCUCACUUGUAUCACUUCAUGGAAUUUAUCUAGAGUGAUCGUGAGACGGUAAUAUCAUAUAAGUCUUCAAACCUAGAUAUAUGAGUUCUUGGCUAUGAGUUGGUUAUGCACUGAUUGUAAGAAAACGCAUCAGUAACUUAAUGUUAUAAAACGUGCAUUUGUGUAUGAUUCAACAAGUAGUUAGUACAAGCAUAUGAGUCGAAGUUUAUCAGUUCCUUUUAGUCCUUGGAGGAUUAGAAGUGAUAUCUGGGCCCCUCGAUGAUUUUGUUUUGACCUAUGUGUCGAGCCCGGUGAUAGUUUUGUUUUUAUACUUCUUUUCAUAGUUUAUUUUUAGUUAAAAUCAUCUCAUUUUAGUUAAUCUUCAUGCAUAUUUUCUCUUUUUAUUAUCUUUCUCCUUUACCGGGUUCUUUCCAGUCUUUUGAGCAUGUUUUGCAGGAUUUACUAAAGACUAUUUGUUACUGGAGGUAUGGAGGGAUUGCGGGGCUUGUGGAUUGCUUGUGGACUUGAGGUGGUGCAAUUGGGCUUGAUGUCAGUAUAAGCGAGAAGCGCGUUAGGCCUAGUCUUUGGAUGAGGACUCAGGCUACGAAAGACAAAAUGAGCAUUGGACCAUCAUUGGAGGCUUUAGAAUAAAACAAUUGGGCUCCCAAGAGUUGUGCAUGUGGGUUGAAGUGUGAAUGAAAACAUUAGGGUGGAAUAUAUUUUAAAUGAGCCAUGUCCCACAAUCAGUGAGACCCAUGCGGUCUGUGUGGAUCCACAAACGGUCCGCGUGCAUCGUGCAGAAGUGAAUGCGAGUUUUGACUUUUUGACUCUAUUUUGGGAAGGUUGGUGGGUCGCUUUUGGGGGAGGUUUUGAAUCCGGAAAUGAGGUCUUUUUGCUGGAGAUUUGGAGCAUUAUUCAUGAUCAUCACUUGGAAAAAACUACACUUUUGCUCUCAAGAACACUUGGGAAGAACUUGAAGAAUUUGAAGAUUGUUGUUAUUUCUUUCCAUCUUGCACUUAGAAAAAUCUUUGGUACUUCUAAACUACCUUGUAUUUCUUUUAUUUUGGCCAUGCUUGGCUAGAUUUUCAUUUGGUUGAUUAGGGUUUAAUCCCAUGGAUGAUUUGUUGUUUUGAAGACUAUUAUUACCUUGUGUUUGAAGUCUAUGGAAAUUUUUUCUAGUUAAACAUCUUGUUAUGUUUGUUUAUCUUUGAUCAUGAUCUUGGAUGAAUAAACAUAUAUUUUUGUUGAUCAUUUUCUUGGUUAAGUAAUGGACUUUGAGAUUGGUAAGCAACAAAUGGUUUCUAUGUUUGUUUUCAUUUCAUUUAAACCAUGGGGAUGUUUCCUCCAUAAUGACAAUGUAAGCAUUUGAUUGUCUUAUGGACUUGGUAACUCUUAGAACUCAAAGCUAAUUGAUUUUCACAAGAUUAUAUGCUUCAAUGAUUUUGUGACUUUAAUUAAGGGAACGUGUUAGAGCUCCUCUAACCAUUUCAAUAUCUAAGAAGAGCUGAGGUAAUUUGUGCUUAUGAAUUUCUAUAGCCAAGUUAAACCAAUUCACAAGUAUUGUUCCUUUUAGUCUAAUGAUAAGUCAACUAUGUCAUCCAUGUGGUGUACCCAAAAUCAAUCGAUUUCACUUCAUUGAAUUUAAUCAAAUCUUUUACUUGUUUAUUUGUCAUAUUACAUUCUAGCUAGUUUUAAUUUUGUCAAACAAUCAAAAAGAAUUAACCCCCGUAUUUUACUUUUACUUUUGUUUUACAAGUACUUGAACAAGUGAUUUACAUAGAGAUUUAAAUUGAACCAAUCCCCGUGGAUACGAUCCCUUUACCACUUUACACUAUUUUAGUGUGUAAUAUCAAGGGUAUUAAUUUUCUUGGCCUCGACAACCACCAGAUUUUGGCGUCGUUGCCGAGGAUUGGUUUAUUUUUAAUCAAUUUGUUUCUUUAUCCCCAGAUCUCAGCGUACCGAUGACUUGAUUUACAACCCGAAAAUUGAAAAAGAAGCAAGGUGUUUGGCGAAGGAAAAGUGAAUAGAACAUGGUCAAACUUCCAACCCUCACGGGGAUCCAGAGGUUGAAACCGCUUCAUCAAGUGAUACGGAUCCCGACUCUAGCCCCGACCCUCACCAAGAAAUUCCCGAAACACCACCCUUUAAGAAGAUCCACCCAUUAUUGAACGAAUUGCAUUGGCAGAUGGAGGAGAAUUUCCCGAGAGAACUUUGAGGCAAAUGAUGGAAACCGAUGUUACACAAACUCCAACCGGUAUCAAUUAUCCGGAUUUGGAAGGAGGUUCGGAAUUGAACUCAAGUUUAGUCCAUCACCUUCCAACUUUUCAUGGAUUAGAGAAUGAAGAUCCUCAUAAGCACUUGAAGAUGUUCCACAUUAUUUGCACUGGUAUGAAACCACAAAGGUCAACCGAUGACCAAAUCAAGCUAAGGGCAUUCCCCUUUUCAUUGGCCGAUAGAGCAAAGGACUGGUUAUUCUAUCUUCCCCUGGGGUCAAUCAACUCAUGGACCGACAUGGCAAGGGCUUUUCAUGACAAGUUAAAUCCCGCUUCAAGAGUCUCAAGUAUUAGAAAUGAGAUUUGUGGAAUCUGCCAAGGUCAAAAUGAGACUUUUCAUGAUUAUUGGGAGAGGUUCAACAACUUGUGCUAUAGUUGUCCACAACAUCAAAUUCCGAAACAACUCCUCAUCCAACACAUCUAUGAGGGAUUGUUGCCAAUGAAGAGAAGACUAGUUGAUGCCUCAAGUGGUGGAAAUGUCUUUUGCAAAACUCCACAACAAACAAGACAACUCUUCAACACCAUAUCCGCAAAUUCACAACAUUUUGGUCUGUGCCAAGAUAUGAAGAGAGAAACUUAACAAAAAGUCAAUGAAGUGGGAACAUCAAACCUCGAAUCUCAAAUCAAAGAUCUAGCCUCCGUUGUUCAAAAGCUAGCCAUGGGGCAAACUCCACAAGUAAUGGUUUGUGGAAUACGUGCAACAAUGGGACAUCGUACAGAUAUGUGUCUUAUUCUCCAAGAAGAUGCGAAACAUGUGAAUGCCACGGGAGAGUUCCAAAAUUACCACAAAAAAACAUUUGGUUACCAAAAUCCAUACAAUUAAAGUUGGAAGCCAAAUCCUAACAUGAGCUACAACCCAAGACCAUUGCCUCAAAAUGCAUUGGUUAGACCUUCCUAUCCACCACCACAACCUUAUUACCAACAUCCAAAACCACACUGUCAACCCAAACCACACCCUCCACAUCAUCAUCAACAACCUCCUCAAUCCCAACCAAGUAGCUCCGGAAUGUCUCUUGAAGACAUUGUCAAAUCCUUAGCCACUAGUACCCAACAAUUCCAAAAAGAGACAAGAAUUAGUAUCUCCAACCUUGAAACACAAUUGGAAGAUAUAGUUACAUCCGUAAGCAAGUUGGAAUCCUGUGGAAAAUUUCCUCUCAAACCGAAAAGAACCCAAAUGUUAAUGUGGUGACCUUGAGAAGUGGCAAAGAAACCGGAGAGGGUAGUUCAAAGAAGAAGCCAAGGGAUGAAGAGGAGGAAAUAGAAGUAAUUCCCAUUGAGGAUCCCAUAACCAAGAACGCCACACACGCCGAAGUUCCAAAGAAUACCAUUCCCUUAGUGACCCCAAUAGCCACUCAACCGUCAUUCCCCUCUCGACUUGUGACUUUCAAGAAGAACAUGGAGGAGAAAGAGAUUUUGGACACCUUUCGAAAGGUAAAAGUAAACAUUCCUUUACUUGAUGCAAUCAAACAUAUCUCUAGAGAUGCAAAAUUCUUGAAGGAACUUUGUACCAGCAAGAGGAAAUUGAAGGGAAACGAGAAAAUCCAAAUUAAUGAACAUUCAUCUGCGGUUUUACAAAGAAAACUUCCACCCAAAUGCAAAGAUCCCAAACUGUUUACGACUCCUUGCAAGAUUGGAGAUGUUACUUUUAGUAGCGAUAUGCUAGAUCUUGGUGCUUCUAUCAAUUUCAUGCCCUAUUCGGUGUACAAAUCAUUGAAUGGCGAACCUUUGAGUGAACCUAGAGUCAUAAUCUCUCUUGUGGAUAAAUCAAGUGUCUUUCCUAGAGGUGUUCUAGAAGAUGUUUUGGUGCAAGUGAAACAAUUGGACUUCCCGGCGGAUUUCUAUGUGAUUGAUUUAGAAGAACAAGUGUCCUCCAAGUCGGGUAUAAUUUUACUUGGGAGACCAUUUUUGAAGAUGGCUAGAACGAAGAUUGAUGUGUAUGCGGGAAGCUUAACAAUGGAGUUUGAUGGGGAAACAAUAAGUUUCAAUAUAUGCGAUGUUAUUAGAUAUCCUAGUGAUGUUUCAUCCUUAUGCUUUGUUAAUGUUGUUGAACCAUUAGCCCAAGAAUUGUCCGAGUUGUCUAAUGGUGACAUGUUGGAGAUGAUUUUGAGCAAAGGAUUUGAUUGUGGGAAAUUAGCCAAAAAGUUGAAGCUUUACUCGUUAGAUCCAGAAGUUGAAAGAUUGGUCAACAAUUUAGAAAUCAAGAAAACCACUCAAUUUAGUGUGAAGCAAAUUGAAAUACCUAAAACUCACACAAGAUUGCCACCCUCCCUUGUUCAACCACCGAAAUUGGAAUUAAAGGUCCUUCCUCAACACUUGAAGUAUGCAUACUUGGGAAACAACGAGACUCUUCCGGUCAUCAUUUCAAAUCAUUUAACCGAAUGUGAAGAAGAGAAACUCAUCAAGGUGAUAAAGGAGCACAAGGAAGCCAUGGGAUGGACGAUUGCGGAUAUCAAGGGAUUGAGCCCCUCCACUUGUAUGCACAAGAUCUUGUUAGACGAUGAAUGCAAGUCGAGUUAGGAUGUGUGACAUCCCCAAUUUCAAGGGCCAGAAAAUACCGACUUGUUUAUGCUUUGUUUUAUAAAAUCAGAGUAAAUUCUUUUGAUUUAAAAGAGUUGCAGAAUUUUUUCCCAAAACAAAAUAUGACAAAAUUUAUCAAAACGUUUCUCAAAGAGAACGUAUUUUCAUUAAAUAAUAAAACCUCGGGAUGUCAUGUUCUGAUACAGACCAAAAGCAUAAAUAGUAUAUAAAAUAGACCUUACAAUAGUUAUUUAUAACUACUAAUCUAUAUUCCAAAAUCUCUCGUCAAGUCCACCAACUUAUACUCUUGUGUCAUUACCUAUAAUGCAAAGAAAACUGAGUGGGUCAGGCUUGGGAGCCUGGUGAGCAUAUAGGGUUUUCAACCCACAAUAUUAUAUCUUAUAUUUAUAUAUUCAAUCAUCAAACAAUCAUUCCAAUUACCAGUCCCCAUUAUCCUCCUUACUCUUAACCGUCUACCCUAAGAGUCAUCUAUUCGUUCACUCCGUAAUAGGCACUAAGACAAUAGCUGCCAGGAUUCUUUAUUAGGCACUAAGACAAUAGCUGCCAAGGUUCUUUCGUAAAUCACUAAUUCCAUAGUUGCUAUGGUUCAUUCAUCGAGUACUAAAUCCAUAGCUACCAGUGUAGGUACUAAGUCCAUAGCUACCAAACGUUUAUCUAACAGGUACUAAGUCCAUAGCUAUCAUCAUCUAUCUAAGAGUAGUAAAUCCAUAGCUACCAACGUUCGUCUAUACGGUACUAAAUCCAUAGCUACCAAGGUUCAUCUAUAUACAGUACUAAAUCUAUAGCUACCGAGGCUUAUCUUUACAGUACUAAAUCCAUAGCUACCGAGGUUUAUCUUUCAUCUCAUCCUCAAACUCAUCCUUUAUCACACACCAACUAUUUUGUCCAUCCAUGCUCUACCCAACAUAUUUGUAGAGAUAAAUACAUAUACAGUUUAACUCAUUUAAAACCUAUAUAAAACUUCAAUUCCACGCCCAUCUCAAAUAGACAAAUAAUAUAUAAACACAUAGCAAGUAUUUCAUAGAAAAUACUUCGUAUUUAUGUGUUAGAAGAAAGUAACUACACACUCACCCAAACAUAUACUUAAUACAUUCAAACAUUACUUGUAUUAUACUCGUGUUUAUGAAAGGGACUAUACACCCACACAUAUAAACAACUUUAUAUUAUACACAUAGCACGUAUUUCAUAGCAAAUACUUAAUAUUUAUGUGUUAGAAGAAAAUGACCACACACUCACACAUAUAAACAACAAUAUAUAUACACAUAGCACGUAUUUUAUAAAAUACCUCAUAUCUAUGUGUAAGAUGAAAGUGACUAUACACUCACUUGAUUAGAAGAUGAUUGGACAACACUACGACUUCUAGAAGUAGUAUUCUUCGGUAGAUCUGGAAGAUCUUCAUAAAAACCGGGCUCCUCGCGGGCAGAGCUUCGGCUCGUGAAUUGCACUUCUCGGGAUCUUUGGGAUUCGGGACUCGCUUCGGGUCUCGGGAUGAUAUCGGAGCUUCGGGGGUACUUCUUUUCAUGUAAAUCGAGGUAAUAUGGGUGAGAGAUGAGAGAACGAGCAACCAAACUCGACUUGCCCUUCAAAUCUAUUUAUAGGGCAAAAUCUGCCCUUGCCAUGUCGUGACACCUUUUUCCAUGUCGUGGGAUUGGUUGUCACUGCAUGCGUCAUAGCAAGUUGCAUCUGGGGGACUCCCGGAGGUGUCAUAAGACUGGCCACGUCGUGGCACUGCUUGCCACGUCGUGGUAUCUGACAGUUUUGGGGUUUCGCGCCCCGAACUUCAGAAAUUCAUAACUUUCGCAUACGAACUCCGUUUUCGACGUUCUUUAUAUCGACGCGAAGGUGAGAUUAUGCUCUACAACUCUCGUUUAGACUCCAUUGGCUAAUUUUGANNNNNNNNNNNNNNNNNNNNNNNNNNNNNNNNNNNNNNNNNNNNNNNNNNNNNNNNNNNNNNCUUGCCACGUCGUGGUAUCUGACAGUUUUGGGGUUUCGCGCCCCGAACUUCAGAAAUUCAUACCUUUCGCAUACGAACUCCGUUUUCGACGUUCUUUAUAUCGACACGAAGGUGAGAUUAUGCUCUACAACUCUAUUUUAUACUCCAUUGGAUAAUUUUGACUUUAUUUUUAAUAUAUUAUAAUUAUAUUACUUAUAUAUUAUUUUUAGUAGGGCUGGACAGGAAAACUCUGUUAUAAACUCAUAACUCCUUCGUCUGACGUCCGUCUUUCUGUCGUUGCACUAAUAUCAAUGAGAUCUUCAAUUCUCAUUUAGAUUGUUUUGGAUAAUUAUCUCUCUAAUGUAAAUUCACUAUUUACGUCGCACUGUGUCGUACCGGUUCUGUCGCAAAACUUCGAUAGGUCAUAACUUCUUCGUUAUAACUCGGAUUUCGGCGUUCUUUAUAUGUACGGAAUCCUUGUAACAUAUACUAUAACUUAGUCAAGAUUAAUCCUUCUAAAUAAUCUUCCAUCAAAAAGUCAUUUUUUGAUGCUUAUCGUCUCUAAUUUGACUAGCCCUAAUCUACGGGCGUUACAAUUAUCUCGCCCUUAGGAUGAUUACGUCCCGGAAUCAUCAACGAAAUAGGAAUUUUAUAAUGAUUCCAUACGAUAUCUCUUCAUCCUAGGUAAUAAAACUAACUUCUAUGUUUCUUCGAAAGAGUAUCUAACUCUAGGGCUUCUUGACUACAGACGAUGCUCAAUCUUGCAUUUGGUUUUGUUACUAUGUUGGACUUUCAAUCAUAACCUUCAAGUUACAAAAUAAGUCCUCAUUUUGGAUUCCUUCUUCUUCUUAGGAUAAAUACUUUCCGAUAUCUAUUGUAACAGACCUAUGGGUUGUGUCCUGAUGACCUCUCAUCGUAGUCGGACUCAAUAGAUAUGACCACUAGGGUCGGAAUAACAACCAUCUUACUAGUCAUUACCGAAACAAUGGUAACGACAUACUUGAAUAAAACGGAAUCAAUUACUAGCUUCUUGGUAACCUUGCGACUUCCCAUGAUCCAAGCGUGAGUCCUGUGCUUCCAGUAGUAUAGAUCUCUACUACUAUUCACACCUACUCAUACUCGUCCCAAGUAUUGUCUCGCAGUCCCCAAGUCCUAAAAUCACAAAACAGUUUAACACAUACGAACGUGUCCAAUUAAUCAUAAAAUUUUUCCUAGACUCUACUAGGACUUCUUCCAUGAGCAUCUUCUAUCAUCAAUCAUGCUUCAACUCGAUUGGUGAUGGAAAUUCUAGAUUAUGGGACGACUUCAAGAAUUACACCAAUCGUUCCAUCAUCCUGCCAAUCGAAGGUGUACUUCAGACGUACCGUACUCCUCUAAACGUUCCGUUAUUUCAUCAAACAUAAACUAAAGGCAAGACACCACUCUGACGAUAUCUUCCGAUAGGUGUCAUUCACUAUCAUAAGCCUUUAAUUUUCUCCAUUUAAUCAAUUCUCUACGAGUCUUUGCCAUAACAUUUUGUACAUCCAAGCAGACGUUCGGUGCACCAGGCGAGAAUUUAAGAUAAGAAAGCUUUAUUUAUGAUAGACGUAUAAAUCUCCUUAUUACUCUGAAACGUUUACAUGCUAGUUCUAAUAUCGUAUCAAACGCUUAGAAUCCUAAACACAUAAGGUCUCCAGUUCCGGUCGGCAACAGACCAUAGAUCCGAGCAAAUAAUAACAUAUAUGGAAACAUAUAACAUUUAGCACAUAAAAGCAUUUUAGGCAUCAUUCCUAAAAUAUACUAGUGCUCGUGUCUUAAAAUAUGGUAGAUACUCAUCUCACAAUAAUCUCUUAGCAUUCUAAGUUUAAGUCUAGAAAUCCUACAAAUUCCUAGUUCGCUUAAACUAAUGCUCUGAUACCAACUGUGACAUCCCCAAUUUCACGGGCAGAAAAGGCCGAUUUGUUUAUGCUUUGUUUUAUAAAAUCAGAGUAAAUUCUUUUGAUUUAAAAGAGUUGCGGAAUUUGUUCCCAAAACAAAAUAUGAUAAAAUUUAUCAAAACGUUUCUCAAAGAGAACGUAUUUUCAUUAAAUAAUAAAACCUCGGGAUGUCAUGUUUCGAUACAGACCAAAAGCAUAAACAGUAUAAAAUAGACCUUACAACAGUUAUUUAUAACUACUGAUCUAUAUUCCAAAAUCUCUCAUCAAGUCCACCAACUUAUACUCUUGUGUCAUUACCUGUAAUGCAAAGAAAACUGAGUUGGUCAGGCUUGGGAGUCUGGUGAGCAUAUAGAGUUUUCAACCCACAAUAUUAUAUCUUAUAUUUAUAUAUUCAAUCAUCAAACAAUCAUUCCAAUUACCCAUCCCCAUUAUCCUCCUUACUCUUAACGGUCUACCCUAAGUGUCAUCUAUCGUUCACUCUAUAAUAGGCACUAAGACAAUAGUUGCUAGGAUUCUUUAUUAGGCACUAAGACAAUAGCUGCCAAGGUUCUUUCGUAAAGCACUAAUUCCAUUGCUACUAUGGUUCAUUCAUCGGGUACUAAAUCCAUAUCUACCAGUGUAGGUACUAAGUCCAUAGCUACCAACGUUUAUCUAACAGGUACUAAGUCCAUAGCUAUCAUCGUCUAUCUAACCGUACUAAAUCUAUAGCUACCAACGUUCGUCUAUACGGUACUAAAUCCAUAGCUACCAAGGUUCAUCUAUAUACAGUACUAAAUCCAUAGCUACCGAGGUUUAUCUUUCGUCUCAUCCUCAAACUCAUCCUUCAUCACACACCAACUAUUUCGUCUAUCAAUGCUCUACCCAACAUAUUUGUAGAGAUAAACACAUAUACAAUUUAACUCAUUUAAAACCUAUAUAAAACUACAAUUCCAUGCCCGUCUCAAAUAGACAAAUAAUAUAUAAACACAUAGCAAGUAUUUCAUAGCAAAUACUUCGUAUUUAUGUGUUAGGAGAAAGUAACUACACACUCACCCAAACAUAUACUUAAUACAUUCAAACAUUACUUGUAUUAUACUCGUGUUUUUGAAAGGGACUAUACACCCACACAUAUAAACAACUUUAUAUUAUACACAUAGCACGUAUUUCAUAGCAAAUACUUAAUAUUUAUGUGUAAGAUGAAAGUGACCACACACUCACACAUAUAAACAACAAUAUAUAUACACAUAGCACGUAUUUUAUAAAAUACUUCAUAUCUAUGUGUAAGAUGAAAGUGACUAUACACUCACUUGAUUAGAAUAUGAUUGGAUAGCACUACGACUUGCAGAAGUAGUAUUCUUCGGUAGAUCUGGAAGAUCUUCACAAAAACCGGGCUCCUUGCGGGCAGAGCUUCGGCUCGUGAAUUGCACUUCUCGGGAUCUUCGGGAUUCGGGACUCGCUUCGGGUCUCGAGAUGAUAUCGGAGCUUCAGGGGUACUUCUUUUCAUGUAAAUCAAGGUAAUAUGGGUGAGAGAUGAGAGAAUGAGCAACCAAACUCGACUUGCCCUUCAAAUCUAUUUAUAGGGCAAAAUCUGCCCCUGCCACGUCGUGGCACCUUUUUCCACGUCGUGGGAUUGGUUGUCACUGCAUGCGUCAUAGCAAGUUGCAUCUGGGGGACUCCCGGAGGUGUCAUAAGACUACGUCGUGGCNCUGCUUGCCACGUCGUGGUAUCUGACAGUUUUGGUGUUUCGCGCCCCGAACUUCAGAAAUUCAUAACUUUCGCAUACGAACUCCGUUUUCGACGUUCUUUAUAUUAACGUGAAGGUGAGAUUAUGCUUUACAACUCUCGUUUAGACUCCAUUGGCUAAUUUUGAAUUUAUGUUUAAUAUAUUAUAAUUAUAUUACUUAUAUAUUAUUUUUAGUAGGCCGGGACAGGAAAACUCUGUUAUAAACUCAUAACUCCUUCGUUUGAUGUCUGUUUUCGUCCGUCUUUCCGUAGUUGCACUAAUAUCGAUGAGAUAUUCAAUUCUCAUUUAUAUUGUUGUGGAUAAUUAUCGCUCUAACAUAAAUUCACUAUUUACGUCGCGCUGUGUCGUGCCAGUUCUGUCGCUAAACUUCAAUAGGUCAUAACUUCUUCAUUAUAACUUUGAUUUCGGCGUUCUUUAUAUGUACGGAAUCCUUGUAACAUAUACUAUAACUUAGUCAAGAUUAAUCCUUCUAAAUAAUCUUCCAUCAAAAAGUCAUUUUUGAUGCUUAUCGUCUCUAAAUUGACUAGCCCUAAUUUACGGGCGUUACAGGACUUACAAAGGAGAUUGAACCCGCCAAUGAUGGAAGUGGUCAAGAAAAAAAAUUGAAGAUCCUUGAUGCGGGAAUGAUCUAUCCAAUCUUGGAUAGCAAAUGGGUGAGCCCGGUGCAUGUGGUGCCAAAAAAGACGGGAACCACGAUGGUCGAAAACAACAAAGGUAUGAUGGUUCCCACCCGCGUGCAAAACGGGUGGAGAGUAUGUAUUGACUACCGCAAACGCAAUGCAAGCACAAGAAAAUAUCAUUUUCCAUUGCCUUUCAUUGACCAAAUGUUAGAAAGGCUGGCCGAGAAAUCUCACUAUUGUUGUCUCGACGGGUACUCCGGUUUUCACCAAAUCCUAGUGGCACCGGAAGACUAAGAAAAGACAACAUUUACAUGUCCAUUUGGCAUUUUUGUAUACUGGAGAAUGCCAUUCGGAUUAUGUAAUGCCCCAGCCACUUUCCAACGUUGCAUGGUUAGUAUCUUUUCGGAAUAUGUUGAAAAUAUAAUUGAAGUUUUCAUGGAUGAGUUUAUGGUAUAUGGAAACUCCUUUCAAAAGUGUUUGACCAAUCUCAACAAAAUUUUGAAAAGAUGCAUUGAAACUAAUUUUAUUUUAAACUUUGAAAAAUGUCAUUUUAUGGUGAGUCAAGGUCUCAUUUUUGGUCAUAUUGUGUCAAAGAAAGGAAUUGAGGUAAAUAAGGCUAAAAUAGAUGUUAUUCAAAGCUUACCUUACCCGACUUGUGUUCGGGAAGUUCGUUCUUUUUUGGGCCAUGUAGGAUUCUACCGAAGAUUCAUUAAAGAUUUUUCAAAGAUAACAAGACCAAUAUUCCAAAUCUUGCAAAAGGAUGUAGAUUUCGAGUUUAAUAAGGCGUGCAAAGAAGCUUUCGACAAGCUCAAACAAUUGCUUACAUCCGCUCCUAUCAUGCAAGCACCAAAUUGGGAUCUCCCUUUUGAGAUCAUGUGUGAUGCACAUAAUUAUGCUAUUGGCGUUGUUUUGGGUCAAAAGAAUGGAAGAGCCUCCCGUGUGAUCUGCUAUGCAUCGAGGACACUAGAAAAUGCUCAAAGCAACUACUCUACCACGGAAAAGGAGUUGUUGGCUAUAGUGUUCGCUUUGGAGAAAUUUAGGCAAUAUUGACUUGGUACCAAGGUCAUAGUGUAUUCGGAUCACGCGACUCUCAAGUACUUGAUGACAAAGAAAGAUGCAAAACCAAGACUCAUCCGGGGGAUCUUAUUAUUGGAAGAUUUUGAUUUGGAAAUUCGGGACAAGAGUGGAUGCGAUAAUCUUGUUGCCGAUCAUCUAAGUCGGAUCACUUCAAAUGAAGCACCUCUCCCAUUGUGGGAUGAGUUUCUGGAUGAGCAUCUCUUUUUCCUUACUCAAUAUAUUCCUUGGUAUCCCGAUAACAUUAACUUUUUGGUCAUGAAAAGGUACCCUACACAUUCACACGUGCUCAAAAAGACAAAUUGAAAAGUGAUGCAAAAUAUUAUGUGUGGGAUGAACCUUAUUUGUGGAAACAUUGUCCCGAUCAAAUCAUUAGGCGAUGUGUGCCCCAACAAGAAUAUCAAUCCAUUUUACAAUUUUUCAAUGAAUUUGCUUUUGGACGACACUUUGGACCUAGCCGGACCUUGAGAAAGGUCCUUAAGUGUGGACUAUUUUGGCCAACCAUGUCAAGCGGCUGUUACUUGUUUUACAAAAUUUGUGAACAGUGCCAAAGGACGGGGAACAUUUUGCAGAAGAACCAAAUGCCACAAAAUCCAAUCCUUGUUUGUGAAUUUUUUGACGUAUGGAGGUGUGACAACCCAAAAAUUUCCGUUAGUUUUAACGUCGAAAUUAACGUCGAAAUCUAUUACAUCCAAAAUUAGUCUAAUUUAGCCAGAAAAUAUUUUUGACCGGAAUUAAACCCGUUGGAAUAUUUUAUAUAAUAUUCCUCAAGUAAAAAUAAACUCGUAAAUUAUCUUUCCAUUUUAUUGGAAAAAAUUAUUUUUAAUUACUACCAUUUAAUCGGGUGCGACCAAAAGCCCCGUUUAACGGCAGGAUCACCCCUAUAUAAGGGGGAGUGGACUCCAUUCACACUCUUUCCACUCUCUCUCUCUCUGUACAACUUGUUUUCGAGCCAAAAAUGCCCAUUUCGAGCCCCAAACUAGUAAGUAAUCUAUCCUAACUUUUUGUAGAGCUUAGUUAUCAUGCAAAUUCAUGUUUAAGGCAUCAAAUAGGGGCAAGAUUAUGUGUUUAUGGCCCAAGAACACUCUUGGGCCGUGAACACCCUUAAGUGGGGGGUUUUAAGCCCCAAAACCCCUCUAAACUACCCCUAGGGCUUAGAUAUGACUUGUGGACUUACACCUUCGAGCUUAGAACACUAAGAGUAAACAUGAGUUUACGGCCCUAGAACACUCUUGGACCGUUAACCCCUCUUCAAGGGCCGUGAACACCUUUUAACGUGUUAGAAAUGCCUCAAACACCUCCUAUGGCCUUGGAAAAUGUCAAGAAGCAACCCCAUUUAAGUAAAGGAAUUAAACAUCAAUUAAACCAAGGAAAUAGGAGUUUACGGCCGUAAACCCCCAUAGAAUUGGUCCAUGGGUGGUAAACUCCCAAAAAGUGCCCAAAUGAUGCCCUAACUUCUUCAUUUGACUUGGAAAAAUGCAUAGAACUUUAUUCUCUACCAUUUAAGACCUUAAUACACCAAGGAAUGAGCAUAUAGGAGCUUAUGGCCGUAAACUCCUUGUUUAGGGCCGUAAACUCCCUAAAAUGGUCAUUUUGAGGCCUUAAACCCUUCAUAAGCCCUAGAUUUGAGCCUAGCAUAAUUCCACAAAUGAUAUAAGACCUUGAAACAUCCUAGAACACCCCACCAUGAGUUUACGGCCGUAAACUCAUGGGGAUGAGGUCUUAGGGCCGUGAACUCUAUAAAGAGUUUACUCUUGAAGAGUAAACUCCCUAUCUAGGCCAUACAUACCCUUAGAUGUUACCCGGGACACCCUAGGACUUAAUCAAAGUGUUUUCCGCACUUUAGGAUGCGUAUACGUGUUUAAUUAGUAUUAUAUUUACUAAUUGUAUGUAAACAUAUGUCAUCAUAUGUUAAUAGGUCACUAAGUGUGUUCAAGUCUUUACUUGACACCGAGCACCCAACCGGCACCUUCACCCGAUCCGCUUACAACAGGUGAGUUCAUACCCCUGAAUUAACCUUUUAAAUGUUUUUACAUGCUUUUAUGGGGAGGGGGAAUACAAGUUAAUACACUGUCAACUGUUUUUACAUUCUUACAUGCCAGUUAUCAUAUCAAUCACAUGUGAUUGAUAACCCGCAUGCACAAGGAUUUAAUACACCGUCAACUAUUUUACCAAAUAUGAUACUGUAAAUGGUUUUUCCAAAACGUCUUUACUUGUUCAAAUCUUUUCUCAAAUUGACUCUCACGCUGUAUGUUUUACUUCGGAUUCAGUUACAACAGUAUUUUAAACAAAGGAUUUCUUUACCUAUAAUGUUUUAUCAAAGUUUCAUUUAAAACUUGUUUAUGAAUGUUUUUCAAAGGAUUUCUAAAGGUUUUCAAACUUAUUUUACAAAAGAAUACCAAGUCGUGAUUUUCUUAAGUGUAAUGGUUUUCCAAAGUUUUCAUCAAAGUUUUCUCCCAUGUUUUAUACUCCUACUUUGUUAGAUACUACUGCUUUGUUAUGCUUCUACUUAGUUAAUGCUCCUACUUAGUAAAAUGCUACUACUUUGUUAACGCUUUUACUUCCUGAUACGCUUAUACUUUGUUAACGCUUCUACUUCGUGAAUUGCUCCUACUUAUUAACGCUUAUACUUCACGAUACGCUUCUACUUCACGAUACACUUCUACUUAUUAACGCUUCUACUUCGUGAAACACUUCUACUUCGUUAAACACUUCAACUUCGUUAAAUGUUUCUACUUAGUUAAAUGUAUGCCUGUACUUGUAUAGUUAUAUAAAUAAUGUUUAAAGGACUUAAGAAGGCUAGUUCGCCCUAUUUCCUUUUCCUCAUUUGGAUGUGGUCUGGUGGGAUCGGAUAUCCGUCUGAAGGUCGUUUGAUCAUUAAUUAUAUAUUAUGUAUACAUGUAUAUACAUAUAGGUUUACAUCGAUCAGUUCAGUUAUGAGUCUCUACUGCUAGUCCAGCAAUUACAUCAGAAUUCAUUGUUCGAGAUACAUCUUCAAGACACGGAUCUCCCCGUCGUCGAGUUGGUAAGCAGAGUCUCUGGUAGGGAGAGCGGACAUUGUGUAUAGAUCUAUAUGGGAUUGACACCCCCGCACCUUGACUGCUAGCUACAGUCUGCGGCCUACCAAGCCAAGGGGUGACAAAAGUCAUACUUACACCGAUGCUUGCAGGGCGUCAAGUACUCUAGUGUCGAUUAGUAUGGUUACGAGUAUCUCCAUGUUACCUUAUAAUUCAUGGCCUUAAGGUAAUGAUGUUUAACACUGUAUGCUGGAAACACAUUCUUGGAAUUACAUUGUUUUAGACCUUGAUAGCUGUAUCUUUCAUUUGAUACUGUCUGGGGUCUGUAUUCAUUGUUUUAGACCUUGCUAGCUGUAUCUUUCAUUUGAUACCGUCUAGGGUCUGUGUCUCCUUUUGUUAGAAUGAGCCAGGCGUGUCGUUCAUUCAAUACUCUCCUGGAGUCUAUGAUUUCUUUGCCUUAGUCAAUAGUAUAUUCUGCUGAGGCAUAUGUUAUUUUCCCUUGUAUUUUACUAGUGAUAAUCUCCUGCUUUCUUUAAAAAUCAAAUACCGUAUAUUGGUAAUGAUAGUAUUUCAGGGAAAAUUACUCUUUAAAAACAUAACACUGUUUUAAUUAGAAAAUAUAGGAUUUUCUGGAAAGGACUCUAAUACACUGUUGAUUCUAAACUACUACUUUUUAUAAAGUUAUUGGAAUAAAAUGACACUAAAUACUUAUGAACUCACCAGCAUUUGUAAAAAUGCUGAUACUGGCUUUCAAAUAACUUGUAUUCUUAGGUUAGCAAUAGACAGGUACAUUCCAGGAGCUUUGGGUGAAGACAGUUUAGUACCAAGCUGCAACUAUAUUAUUACUUGUAUUACUUUAAUGUCUCUAUGUAAUGUAAACCAUGUAAAACUAUUACUAUUAAUGCAAUGGUUGUUGUAGUUUGAUUAUUAUACUGCAUAUGUUGUGAAACUUGACAUGACGUCAUCCACCCCAGAACGUUUCCGCCGUUCCGGUUUUGGGGUGUGACAGGAGGAUUGAUUUUAUGGGCCCAUUUCCUGUCUCAUUUGGCAACAUUUAUAUAUUUCUCGCGGUUGACUAUGUUUCUAAGUGGAUUGAGGCCAAAGCCACAAGAUUAGAUGAUGCAAAAACGGUUAUCGAGUUUUUGAAGUCUAAUAUUUUUGUAAAGCUUUGUGUACCUAGGGCUUUGAUUAGUUAUGGAAGGAUGCAUUUUUGCAAUAAGAUGAUGGAGGCCAUGCUAAGAAAGCACAACGUGACCCGUUGUGUCUGUACCGCCUACCACCCUCAAAUAAAUGGCCAAGCGGAGGUUUUGAAUCGUGAAGUGAAGUCUAUUCUUGAGAAAAUAGUGAAUCCUACUAGAAAAGAUUGGAGUUCGAGGCUUGAAGAUGCAUUGUGGGCCUAUCAGACCGCGUACAAGACCCUAAUAAGAAUGUCCCCAUUUAGGUUGGUUUUUGGAAAACCAUGUCAUCUUCCCGUGGAAUUAGAGCACCAUGCAUUUUGGGCGAUCAAGCAAUGCAACUUCAACAUUGAUGAGGCGGGAAGGAAUAAGAAGCUUCAACUUCAAGAGUUAGAAGAAUUGAGAAAUGACUCUUAUGAAAACUCAAGAAUUUACAAGGAGAAAACGAAGCUUUUCCAUGACAAAUCCAUUACCCGCAAGCAUUUUGAGCCGGGCAUAGGGUUUUGCUUUACCAUUUACGAUUAAAGUUAUUUCUCAAAAAUUUGAGGUCAAGAUGGAUAUGUCCAUUUGUUGUGCUAAAAGUCUUUGAGCACGGAGCAGUUGAAAUACAAAGUGAAGAAACGGGAAAAAUUUUCAAUGUCAACGGUCAUCAUUUGAAGCCAUUUUAUGAAGGUUUUAAUGUCAAUGCCCUUGAAAUCAUCCAUUUGGAUGUCCCAAAGUGUUGAAUCAAGUUGGGAAGACAUCUUGCCAAAGACGUUAAAGAAGGGCAUUUUUGGAAAACUUAAAGUUAUCAUCUUUUCUAAUUCCGAAUAAAUAUCUUAGAUAGAUCCUUUUUGCACUUAACAUUUCUUCUUCUUCCUUCUUGUAGUAAAAGAGUGUUGGAUUUUAAGACCCGAUAUUCGUUUUGGUCAAAGGGAAAAAAUUGAGAAGUUGCUACAGAAUUCACGCAGACUGCGUGUACUCGAAGGAGUGUCCACGUAUAUAAACAAAUGGUCUGCGUAUGGUCCUCGGACCGCGUAUAAUCCCAAAAAAACAACCACGUGAAAAAUUCGAAAGCAGAACUGGGAUGCCGAGGAUCACUAACAAGGUGUGAAUAACCAUGAAAAUUAACGUGGUACCCUUAAUUUUUAUCACCUAAUCAAUGUGCCGGUUAACCACAUGCGCUCCAUCAAUCUAUGAUAAACAUUAAGUUACCCUUUUCCACACUUACUAGUCCAUGUUAGUGUGUCGGUUAACCACACACGCUCCACUAACGACUUGGUAAGGUACAAAGUGUACUUUCAUGGGUUAGCACCAAAUUCACAUUUUCCUAAGGUAACUAAGAUUGGGAAUUUAUAAAAGGAUUAGUAUGGAUAAUCUUUUGAGAAUAGUAUAUAUUUAUGAUUUAUUAAUAUAUUAUAAGUUAUAAUAUAUUAAUAUGAAAUCAUAUUAUUUAAUUAGUAUUGAUCAAAAAUUAAUUUGGAAUUAAUUUAGUGAUCAAAAUAAACUAAUUAAAUAUGGACUCAUAUAUAUAGAAUGGGCCAAAGUUCAUUUAGGAUGGGCUAAGCUUGCAUGGAUAGUCCAUGGAGUUUCUAACCCAUGGAUCCUAUGGAAAUGAAAGGUCAUGGGUAUUAGGGUUUACAUGGUUGUAACUCUAAUCCACCAUACUAUAUAAAGAGGUCUUUAGCACAUGAAAUGGCACUAGUGUGUGUGAUAGAGAAGGUGGGCCGAUUUCUAGUGUGCAUUACUAUUCUCUUCAGUUUCCAAGUUGUGUGGUGAUUUGUGAUUCCACUUGAGGCAUUCACAUCAUUGGUGUUAGGCACUCAAAACUCUAAGCAAUCAACCACAAGAAAAUGGUAUGUCAUUCUACUAGAUUUUUAUGUUACAAGUACCGCAUAACAUGCUAGUUAGGAUGAGAUCCUUGGAAAAAUCAAAUUUGAAUGUAUAUUUGUAACAUCCCAAAAUUCAAGACUAAAAAUUUCUUUUAAUAAGAAUUACGUAUAGAAAAUUCAUCGUUUUCAAACAUAAACAAAGUAUUAGUUUCCAAAAUACAUAUUCGUUAUCAGAGUAAACAGUCCCAGGCUGUCUAAACUAUGGUGUGUGCCAUGCGAUCAUCCCGAGCUCCAUCAUCCGCUACCGGAAGUACCUGAAACCAAAACUAAAAACCGUAAGCACGAAGCUUAGUGAGUUCCCCACCUUACCACAUACUGCACAUACUGGGCCACGCCCGCUAUCCUGGGCCUCGCCCCCUACCUCGGGCCUCGCCCGCUACAACGGCCCCGCCGCUCCAGGCCCCGCCUGGCUUCGAGCCCCGCUCGGAUACAGAUCUGUUUCACUUAGGCCUCGCCUGUCACAGGGCCUCGCCCACUAACAUAUAAUAGCACAUAAACAUAUCACAUAACAUUACAUAAGCUAAACAUAUACUAACAACUCUUGCUCUAAGGCCUCGCCUAUCUCUGGGCCCCGCCCGAGUCCUGCUACUGAUGAGUCAUGGAACCUCGUCCAUACUCCUGCUGAUAGUGAGGUACGGGCCCAGCCCACCCUCACUCCUUUCCUAACUUGGGCCUCGCCCCUGCUCUGCUGCUACUGAGAUGUGGAACACCAUCCACACUCUGCUAUUGGUGAGAUACGGGACCUCGCCCACACUCACCUCCCUACCAGGCACAUACAAGUAUCACACAGACAACAAGUAUAAACUAUCACAUAAACCAUUCCUUGGGCACCCGCCCUCUAUCAUUGGACCUCGUCCCGAAUAUCAUACUAGCAUACUGUGCCUAGGGCUAACCCCCGGGUCUUCUACUCAUAACUACAUGGGCCGGCAUUGUGGCCGUAGACCCAUUCAUACAAAGGGAAACUCACCUGAUACUGCUGAACUGCUGCUGUUAAUCCCUUUGAUCGCUACCUGACCACUGACUCCGAACUACUGCUACACUAGCUCCCCGAGCUACCAAUAUCAAUACAACACUGAGUCAAACUGACCCCUGACAGACAACCAAGUCAACUUUGGUCAAGUCAAAGUCCUGGUCAAAGUCAACCUUUCUUGGUCAACCCUACUCGCCGAGUGCACUUACUGACUCGCCGAGUUCAACGAUUUCCGAGUCCUGACCUGACCAACUCGCUGAGUCUCCACCCGACUCACUGAUUCGAAUCUCAACUCGAAGGGUUUGGGGCUACGCGACCUGACUCGUCGAGUCCAAGAGCAGACUCGCCGAGCACAAGGCAAUCUUCAUCCAACUCGCCGAGUUGUUCAUCCAACUCGUCGAGUUCAUGCCCAUCUUCAUCCGACUCGACGAGCUGUUCAUCCCACUCGUCGAGUUCCUCCUCAUCUUCAAGCUACUCGCCGAGUCCACUCGAAGGACUCGCCGAGUCCAUUCAGAUCUACAUACAUGCAGAGGACUUUCGAGUCAUGCAUGGACUCCAAACUGUAGAUCUACCCUUCCCAAGCCUAUCCCCCACGUAAAGUUGCAAACUUUACGUGUAGAGAGGGAGAUCUAGGCAAAAAGCACCAUAAACUAGGGUUUAAGGCCAAGGGGCUUCAAAAUCGACUCAAGGGCUGAUACUUUAUGCUUCUCCAGUCCAUAACACACUUGGAUCUGAAGUAGCAACUCCAGAUCCGGCUCCUAACUCAAAAUAAUAUUAUUAUGGCUAAAGAGCCCCAACAACCACACAUAAAUCUAGAUGCAAAAAGGGUCCAGGAACUAGUUCAUACCUCCAAAAGCUCAGAAAUGUCUUCCCAAUCCCGGAUCUACAGCCCCCUUCUUGCACUCUCAAGAUUCUUCUUCUUUCUCCAAGCUUAAUGCACUCUUGAAGGCAAUAAAUGGCUCAAAUAGAGGAUAUGGAGGCUAGGGUUUGAUGUCCAGGGCUUAAGAGGCAGUAAGGAACCCUAGAAAGAAGAUUAAGACGUUUAUAUAGCCUCCAAGUCCCGAAUUUAGGGUUUUCCAUGCACAGACCAGACUCGCCGAGUCACCUUGGCCGACUCGACGAGUNGAUCCCGCUCUGACUCGCCGAGUUCCUCCUUGGACUCGCCGAGUCGCCCCUUAACAUUAAGGCUUUCUUUCCUUUCUUGGCCUUCAAAACUUUGGGUGUUACAACUCUCCCCCACUUAAACUAAACUUCAUCCUCGAAGUUUGCUAUGGCCCACCGCCUGCGAUCUGCCUGCAAUACCCAACCAAUUAUCCCAACACUAGCUGCCUUCCUUCGCUGGCCUACCGCCCGAUCAUUUUGACUAGCAUCAAACCUUGCGGAUAAUCAUCUCGGGUCAACCCUGACCCUAAACAUUCUGGAAACACGACUUACUCACCCGAUAAUCCGCCUGGUACUUACCGAGUACUGCACUGAACCUAUAGGGAUUCACCCCUUCUUUCCUUGCACAAUUCCUUGCCUUCCCAAGGCAAAACCCCAUAACCAACUAUUCCUUCUGUCAUUGUGAAGGCCCUAUCCUUCACCAACUCCAUCACCUCCGCUUACCAAUAUGGGUCAUUAUCGCCAGUAUCCACUGGGCAUUUCUUUCUACUAUGGUUUGGUGCUGAGCACCUCACGAUCAACUAACUGAAUUCCACCAUGCGCUGCAUGCUCGCACUGCCACUGCCUGGCAAUUAUGAUGUUCCUUUUUUGACUUCUGGAUGAACUAAGACCACCCUGGUCCCUACCAACCUAUCAAUGACUGGAUUACCAGCUCCCACCGGUAGUUGGUCCCAAUACCACCACUAAUCGCUCCGAGCGACUUCCAAAGAACUUCGAUCAUCUAUAACUGCUCAAUCUACUCUGCCAUUCAGGCACUACAAACCUGGGAUUCCCGAUCCCCUAACUUGACAAUAAGGUCCCUACUAGGUCCCACCUGUGCUGCUAAAACUCACGGGUCUCACCCAACCAUACUACUGAGCAACCCUGCUCCCAGGUCUCAUCUACACUGCUAAUCUCAUAUGGGCCUCGCCCACGGGUCUCACCCAACUAUAUCCUGGAGCGACCUCUCCCAAGNCUGCUAAUCUCAUACGGGCCUCGCCCACGGGUCUCACCCAACUAUAUCCUGGAGCGGCCUCUCCCAAGGUCUCACCUCUCUAGGGCUAUACAGGCAAACUCCCUAUCAUUCUCAUCCACUACCCAUUCCUGAUCCCUAUCUGAUCACUAGGAGAUAAGGGUCUCGCCCCAACUCCGCUAACGAAACCACUAAGGAAUGCUACGGCUUACCCAUAAUCUUACAUCACCAUCCAUUGCUGACUACUAGUACGAAGGCACCCAUGUGCCAUUAGCUCUCAAGAUCCUCAUUCCGACUCCCUCGAGUCCUACGGGCGAUCCACAACCUGAAUUCUAAACCAUAAACUAACCAUUACCAUCACACGCACUAGCUGAUGGUGAGUUUCUCAAACUCCCAACCCUGAAAUCCUCAAUCCAUGAAACUCUGAACUACUUCUCUUCCUUCUCGGAGGUCACGUAGUCAUUCUGGGUCUGCGUGCUCCUCUCUGGGCACACCCGGAGGAUUCUCCCCCACUUCGAUCCUGCUUACUCCUUGCUGCUCAAUACUCAAUAGAGAUCCCGAUCUUUGCUACCAUUCCAUAACCCAUCUACUGAGGAACCCAAGCCCACCAUAGUUAGGGAUUUAGCCAAUCUAUCACAAUCGCUGUACCACUCCGAACUUAGCGAGACGUACCAAAUCUCUCCCAAGCAUGCUACAGUUACUGCAUCCUUCGAAACCUUCUUCAUUAGAGCACAUCCCCUAACUACCAUACAAAUAUCCAAGGUAUGCAGAUGGCAUAUAACUCGAUCACAAUCAACCACUCAAAAUAAAAUACUUUUACCGAUAAUGAUGCAGAACCAUAACAAUAAAAUCAUGCACAAAUAAAAGAACUGAAAAUGGGAAAUUGCAUACCUGCAACGUCCGGCGUUGCUCGCGUCUCCAAGGUCGUCAUCUGAAAAGCCCUGCUCCCUGCUGCAGGUGCCUCUACCCGGCCCUGACGGCCAUCCGUGAUCCUCAAGGUUGCAGGGGCGGGUGCCAUCACCCGUCCUGCCGAAAACAAACUGGGACACUGGGCCUUCUUGUGGCCCCGCUGGUUGCAAUGAAAACAUAUCAAGUCUGAUCCCUGCGCGGCGGUAACAGUACAAUCCCUGCUGAAAUGACCAGUCCGACCGCACUUGAAACAGCCAGACUCACCACCGCUACCACUCCUGCACGCGCCCCCGUGCGCCCUGCCACACUUUCCGCACCGACUGCGGUCCUGAUGAUCCCUCGAUCUCGAAUCCGAUCCCUUGGGCCUUUUGCCCGAACCCGCAGCUACCUGAACCUCAUCCGGCUUCCUCUUCCGGAUUUGCUCCAAAUCAAUUUCCCUUUCUCUAGCCCGAGAAAUCAUAUCUUCCAGCGUCUUACAGCUGGAUCUGCUCACGAACUCCCUGAUGUCAUCCCUCAACAUCUCAUGGUACCGAGCCUUCUUCAUCUCCUCAUCCGCGACAUACUGCGGUACAAGAAGAGCCCUCUCCCUGAACUUGGCGGUGAUCUCCGCCACAGUCUCAGUGGUCUGCGUCAAAUCCUGAAACUCCCGUGCCAACUGCUGCACCUCAAUAAUCGGCGAAAACUCCGCCCUGAACCUGGCCGAGAAAUCGCUCCAAGUCAUCGCGUCCAACGCGGCAUCAUCCCCCAAAGCAUGACCAAUCUCCUCCCACCAAUCCCUCGCUCUGUCCUUCAGAAGACAGGAGGCGAGUCUAACCUUGUCCCCCUCGGGACACUUGCUCGUACGAAAAGCGUUGGCAACAUCAGCCAACCAUCUGCUGCUAGCAAUGGGGUCCCUAGCCCCAUGAUAAUCUGGUGCCCCGCAAGCCCUGAACUCUCGAAAUGUCAAGGUACGCGCUCCCAUCAAUGCCAUCAUCUCAGUACGGAAGGCUCCCAGCCUCUCAUCCAAAAUCUCCAAUAUACCCUCCUUGACCGUGCCAAAGAUCACAGGAGUCUGAUUCAAAAUACUGCGCGUAACCUCGGCGGAUAUCAACUCCCUCAUUCGCUCCUCGAGCUGCUCGGCCCCUGAACCCGAGCCUGAUCCCUCUCCGGCGCCUGAUCCGCCCGCUGGUCUCUCUCGCAAUGUCACCAUGCUGAAAAUAUACCACAACCACUAUCAGAAUACUCAUCACUGAUGCGAGACCAAACAUACCCUACCAGGUUCCCGGUCUUGUCUCGGCCCUUCCCGAAUCGAGUACGGAUCCUCUGCUUUCAGUAGUACGGGCCCAUACUACCUUCCACAUCUAUCCGUACUUUCCUCAGGAAUUGCUUUGACUCCACCAGGUCCCUUAUCCACUACUACUGCUCCCAGCACUAUCUCAUCCUAGGCUUACCCUAGGGAAACCUCUGACUCAACUCAAACCAGUCCUCAGCUGCUGAAGGUCUCCUUGUGAUGCCAAUUAGCCAUCACCUGGAUACCAUCACAUGUGACGAGGCUCAGAUAAUCCUUCAAGUAAAAGACUCGUCCCUACAACGGUUGGACUCAAACAAGAGCUGCGCAAUAGGGCCAAAUCCAGCACUCUGAGAUUAUUCAACCCUGAUCACAUGUGACGUGACGUAUCCACCUAAUGGCUAACUCCCAUCACUCAAAAUCCCACAAUGCACAAAGCAAGCAGCAUUCGGACAAGGGAAAAUCUAACCAUAACAUACUCAAGCAAUCAUAUCCACAUAGCAAGAAUCUGAACUAGCAUGCAACACAAACUCAUAAACUCAGGCAUAACCUAAACAGGCUAUCCUACUACUGUCUAAUCAGCACUAUCAUGCAGCUCAAAAGCACAAAUAACAGGCACAUAAGGCAUCAUUCCUAGAUCCUUAGUCCUAUUCUAGCAUGCUGUUCUAUCAACUGAUAAUCAUAACAUAAACUUGUAUGGGUAUUUUGGGGUACUUACUUGAGCUCGGUUGAUUGCAUGCACCACACCUCUUUUCUCUUUUCAAAGUUCUUUUCUUUCUGAAUUCUUUUUGCUUUUCUAAAACUGUUUUUCGUUCUCAAAAUUCUUUUUACAAAACUGUCUUUUCACUUUUGAAAACUUUUUAUCCGACCCCUCAGUUUGAGUUCAGGCACACCCGAGAGCAUGCCCGAAUCCCUCAAACCAAGGCUCUGAUACCAACUUGUAACGUCCCAAAAUUCAAGACUAAAAAUUUCAUUUAAUAAAACAUUACGUUAAGCAAAUUCAUCGUUUUCAAACAUAAACAAAGUAUUAGUUUCCAAAAUACAUAUUCGUUAUCAGAGUAAACAUUCCCAGGCUGUCUAAGCUAUGGUGUGUGCCAUGCGAUCAUCCCGAGCUCCAUCCUCCGCUACCGGAAGUACCUGAAACCAAAACUAAAAUCUGUAAGCACGAAGCUUAGUGAGUUCCCCACCUUACCACAUACUGCACAUACUGGGCCACGCCCGCUAUCCUGGGCCUCGCCCCCUACCUCGGGCCUCGCCCACUACAACGACCCCGCCGCUCCAGGCCCCGCCUGGCUUCGAGCCCCGCUCAGAUACAAAUCUGUUUCAUGUAGGCCUCGCCUGUCAUAGGGCCUCGCCCACUAACAUAUAAAAGCACAUAAACAUCUCACAUAAGCUAAACACAUACUAACGAAUCUUAUCCUAAGGCCUCGCCAAUCUCCGGGCCCCGCCCCUGACCUGCUACUGAUGAGUCACGGAACCCCGUCCAUGCUCCUACUGGUAGUGAGAUACGGGCCCAGCCCACACUCACUCCUUUCCUGACUUGGGCCUCGCCCCUGCUCUGCUGCUACUGAGAUGUGGAACACCAUCCACACUCUGCUAUUGGUGAGAUACGGGACCUCGCCCACACUCACCUCCCUACCAGGCACAUACAAGUAUCACACAGACAACAAGUAUAAACUAUCACAUAAACCAUUCCUUGGGCACCCGCCCUCUAUCAUUGGACCUCGUCCGAAUAUCAUACUAGCAUACUGUGCCUAGGGCUAACCCCCGGGUCUUCUACUCAUAACUACAUGGGCCGGCAUUGUGGCCGUAGACCCAUUCAUACAAAGGGAAACUCACCUGAUACUGCUGAACUGCUGCUGCUAAUCCCUUUGACCGCUACCUGACCACUGACUCCGAACUGCUGCUCCACUAGCUCCCCGAGCUACCAAUAUCAACAUAACACUUAGUCUAACUGACCUUCAAAGGUCAACUAAGUCAACUCUUGUCAAAGUCAAAGUCCUGGUCAAAGUCAACCUUCCAGGUCAACCCUACUCGCCGAGUCCACUUACUGACUCGCCGAGUUCUUAUGCUCAAAGUCCUUCCAAUCGCGACUUGACUCGCCGAGUCAGCCCCUGACUCGCCGAGUCUACUGAUUCCCGAAUCCUGUCCUGUCCAACUCACUGAGUCCUUGCUCGACUCGCUGACUCGAGUCUUAACUCGAAGGGUUUGGGACUACGCGACCUGACUCGCCGAGUCUAAGAACAGACUCGCCGAGCACAAGGCAAUCUUCAUCCAACUCGCCGAGUUGUUCAUCCAACUCGCCGAGUUCAUGCCCAUCUUCAUCCGACUCGACGAGCUGUUCAUCCCACUCGUCGAGUUCCUCCUCAUCUUCAAGCUACUCGCCGAGUCCACUCGAAGGACUCGCCGAGUCCAUUCAGAUCUACAUACAUGCAGAGGACUUUCGAGUCAUGCAUGGACUCCAAACUGUAGAUCUACCCUUCCCAAGCCUAUCCCCCACGUAAAGUUGCAAACUUUACGUGUAGAGAGGGAGAUCUAGGCAAAAAGCACCAUAAAUUAGGGUUUAAGGCGAAGGGGCUUCAAAAUCGACUCAAGGGCUGAUACUUUAUGCUUCUCCAGUCCAUAACACACUUGGAUCUGAAGUAGGAACUCCAGAUCUAGCUCCUAACUCAAAAUAAUAUUAUUAUGGCUAAAGAGCCCCAACAACCACACAUAAAUCUAGAUGCAAAAAGGGUCCAGGAACUAGUUCAUACCUCCAAAAGCUCAGAAAUGUCUUCCCAAUCCCGGAUCUACAGCCCCCUUCUUGCACUCUCAAGAUUCUUCUUGUUUCUCAAAGCUUAAUGCACUCUUGAAGGCAAUAAAUGGCUCAAAUAGAAGAUAUGGCGGGGGGGGGGGGUGANNNNNNNNNNNNNNNNNNNNNNNNNNNNNNUAUCCAGGGCUUAAGAGGCAGUAAGGAACCCUAGAAAGAAGAUUAAGACGUUUAUAUAGGCUCCAAGUCCCGAAUUUAGGGUUUUCCAUGCACAGACCAGACUCGCUGAGUCACCUUGGCCGACUCGCCGAGUCGGUCACUUACUCCUCAACCCGGAUCCCGCUCUGACUCGCCGAGUUCCUCCUUGGACUCGCCGAGUCGCCCCUUAACAUUAAGGCUUUCUUUCCUUUCUUGGCCUUCAAAACUUUGAGUGUUACAAUAUUAGAGAAAACAUAGAUCCAAGGUUUCUAGGGUUAGAUGUACACCAUAAGAGUGUUAGAAUGCUCAAAUCCCUUCAAUUUGAUGGUUGGUGAAUUGAUG
rnacentral:lncRNA from 1 species